AACUAAAUAGCUCAAAUGUAGCUCUGACAUUUUUUUUUCUGAAUACUCCUGUCUUCUACAUGUCCUGCUUUGCAUUCAGCUGCUCCUAUAGGAGACAAGGUCAAAGAGAAGAUCAGAGGAUUCUCAAAUUGAAGAACUAUACUGGGGAUAUUUCAGUUAUGGAAGUUUACAGCAAAGAGACAGAAGAGAAGCACAAAAUGUUUCUUCUUACAAAGCCACUUGAUCCUGAAAAAAAAAUGACCUCUGAACACUGUCUUCUGUGUUGCUCCCUAGAGCCACUCUCCAUCCUCUGCAAUUCUCCCUGUCUCCAGAGGCCUUUUUGAAUGGCAUGAAUAACUAUCCUCCCACUUCAGGUUCAGUUGGCUUGUAUCAUUGGGAACCCCAGCAAGAAGAAACCUAGGGUAGAAAAGUUGUGUCCCUAGGUCCUUCGAGUUCAAUUACUUUAGACUCUAAAGAUCCCAACUGUUCAAAAAAUGGUUUUCAAGUUGUGCUGCAAUUGUGUACAAUGAAUCAAAAUGCAUUCUGCUGUCAUAUAUGACUAAUUAAAAAUUUUAAAGAAAACAAAUGGGAAAAAUGAUUUUCGUUGCUGUUUUCAGUAAUUUCUCACUCCCCUCAUUAUUAGAAUUUAAAGAAGUAUGUCACUUCAUUUUUCCAAGAAAUGUGACUAAAUAGGAUUAGAGGUGCAAGAGAUUUAUUAAGGGGAAUUUCUGUCAAGGGUCUAAGUAGAUAAGGAGAGCCCAUAAUACUGGUGCAAGGACAAGAGAAAGAAAGAGGAUGGAAAAGAAAGUUCAUCAAGUAGAACACAAUUCUAAGCAAAGUUCAGUCAGAUAGAUGGGUAUUCUCCUAGCCAAUUUUCUAUUAGGGAAAUCAUACACCUCAUAAAAUAGACAAUACUAGUACACUUACAGUACACUUACCAUACUAACACAUUGGUGCAGGGUAGCCAAGGGUAAGGGCAGCCUUGCUAUAAAAAAUGUGGUACUGGAUUCAGUGAUAUGGAAGCUGGGACUGACAUUUCCCUCUGCUUCCUACAGUAGCUUCUAAGAACUAAAAGGUCUACUUCACAAGGUGAUAGCAUCCCCUGUGUUAUAAUACUGUAUUUUCUCUUAUGGAUUCACUAAAACCUGUUCAUACCUUUGCAUACACAGUAGAUUUUUCUAACUUAAAAUGUACCUUUAAAAAAUAGAGAACCUGACCCAUUAUUUGUGCUUUUUAUAUAAAUAACUUUAGUAUUGAAUGCUGCUUUAACUUAAAAGCAAAAUAUCAGAAAAAUAAAUAGUAAUGAUCACCAAAAUCAUCAUACAGCGAUUCAGUUAAAACGUUUUAAACCUUUUGUUCACUUUGAAAGCAUGAUAAAAAUAUUAAUGAACAGGGGACACUAUAGAAACAAUAUUGACGUUCUAAAUGGGAUCUCAGAACAUUUUACUAUUGAAAAGUAAUUAGAUUCUUUUAAAUUAUUAUUUUGAGCUAAUGGAUUUUCUACAAAACCAAAAACUCUAUUAUUGGUGCAAUGUAAUACCUUGAUUUAAAAAUUCCAAUGAAGUAUUUAUAAAUAUAAAAUGAAAGGUAGAAACAGAGGGAUAAAUCUUGGUACAUGACAGAGAUGAAAAUAUACAUUAUAAUAUUAGGCCCCAAUUGGCAGGGAGGGUACAGUAUGAAUUCAAAUUUUCAACAAAUUUGUAUAGAUACUUUUAGCACAUGGCAAACCAGAGAUAGAGGUAGUGCUGAUAAGUUGUUUAAGCACAACUAUACCCAUGUGCAAACAUGUAUGAUCACACACAAAUUAGCUGGUGUCUUCAAAUACAUUUUCUAGUGAAAAAAUCAGAAUGUAUAUAAUGACGUUGUUGCAAUACACAGAAUCAUUGCUAAGCUGCCUGAUACCUUAGAAAAACUAUCAUCCAAUUAAACUAUGGAAUUAUAAAGAUAAGCAAAAUAAAGUACAACCUUCAAAGAGAGCUAAAAUCAGAAUAGACAUUUCCAAAUUACUAUCUCAGGAAAGAAUGCACAAACCAAGACAGAAGAUCUGAAUGUUUUCUGCAAUUUUCUAGCCUAUAUCCUCAACCUCCUAACAUCAACUUCCAAGGUUAGCGAUGAGGUUUCACAAGCAAGUAGAGUAUAUGACACACCUCUACUGUAUAUGUAAAGUUGUUUCAGAAACUGUCAUACAAUUUCUUGUUGAUUCUAUGAGGCAGAAACAUUUCUUUAAGGGCAAUUCCUUCUCUUAAGCACCUUGAACCUCCUCAUUCAUGUGUGUUCCUUGAAAUUCCAUACAUGCUACCCUCCACUACCCUCAUGCUUUGUGUUUUUGUUUCUUUCCUCCCUCAACACAGCUGUGACACACAGUUACAUGUUUUUCUGAAACUCUCACUGCUAUUCCAAUGAAUUCAGUAGGUAUGAUUUAGUAUGGUCUAUAAGAGUUCUGAAAUACGACAUAAAUGGUUGGGAUUCUACAAUUUUUCAGUUUCAGAGGACAAUGCCCCAUUAGCUCAUCAACACACAAAUUCUCCUUUACUGAGCUGCCUUUUAUCAUAAACUUAGCUUUUAUUGAGUCAUUAACAAAAAACAGCCAUGUGAAAAUUUAUUCUGUAUUUGCUCUAUAAAGGUGAUAAGAUCUAUUAUCUGCUUUGUAGUUCAAAUAUUCUAUAUUAAGUCUCAUGUGAAAAAUGUGUUAGAAAGUAUGAGUUCACUUUGUUUCCACUGAGAAAAUUGUGUUUUCUACUUCCUGGAGAAAACAAAACAUACAAUUUCUGAUGAUAUAUAUAUAUUUUUUAU